rnacentral:rRNA from 1 species
GACAUUGUGUCUUCGAGUCGUUGAUUUCACACUGCCGAGAAAAGCCUCUAGAUAGAAAAUAGGUGCCCGUACCGCAAACCGACACAGGUAGUCAAGAUGAGAAUUCUAAGGUGAGCGAGCGAACUCUCGUUAAGGAACUCGGCAAAAUGACCCCGUAACUUCGGGAGAAGGGGUGCUCUUUAGGGUUAACGCCCAGAAGAGCCGCAGUGAAUAGGCCCAAGCGACUGUUUAUCAAAAACACAGGUCUCUGCUAAACCGUAAGGUGAUGUAUAGGGGCUGACGCCUGCCCGGUGCUGGAAGGUUAAGAGGAGUGGUUAGCUUCUGCGAAGCUACGAAUCGAAGCCCCAGUAAACGGCGGCCGUAACUAUAACGGUCCUAAGGUAGCGAAAUUCCUUGUCGGGUAAGUUCCGACCCGCACGAAAGGCGUAACGAUUUGGGCACUGUCUCAACGAGAGACUCGGUGAAAUCAUAGUACCUGUGAAGAUGCAGGUUACCCGCGACAGGACGGAAAGACCCCGUGGAGCUUUACUGUAGCCUGAUAUUGAAAUUCGGCACAGCUUGUACAGGAUAGGUAGGAGCCUUUGAAACGUGAGCGCUAGCUUACGUGGAGGCGCUGGUGGGAUACUACCCUAGCUGUGUUGGCUUUCUAACCCGCACCACUUAUCGUGGUGGGAGACAGUGUCAGGCGGGCAGUUUGACUGGGGCGGUCGCCUCCUAAAAGGUAACGGAGGCGCUCAAAGGUUCCCUCAGAAUGGUUGGAAAUCAUUCAUAGAGUGUAAAGGCAUAAGGGAGCUUGACUGCGAGACCUACAAGUCGAG